ACCAUUAUUAGUUCGGAAAUUGCAGUGCUCGAAAGUGAGUCGGUGCAUUUUGAAUCGGGCGAAAUGGUAGCUAAUAUUUCGUCUUUUAUGGACGUAUCAGGAGGUCUAUCACCAUGGAAACAAAAGGUACUGUUAAGUGGUUCAACGCAGAAAAAGGUUACGGUUUCAUCACUGCUGAAGGUGGCGAAGAUGUAUUCGUACAUUUCUCCGCAAUCAAAGCAGACGGCUUCAAAACCCUCGAAGAAGGCCAAAACGUUACUUUUGAAAUCGUAGAUGGCAACCGCGGUCCGCAAGCAUCUAACGUUGAAAAAGCGUAAGCUUUCGUCAAAUGACAAAUUUUAACCAGCGAAUCUUUGGAUUCGCUGGUUUUU
rnacentral:other from 1 species